AUUAUUAUAAAUCUAACUACCCUAGGAGAUUUUUUCAUAAUGAAACAAGAGAGAAGUGGAGACCAAGAUUAAAUACCACUAGGGAUAAUUAUAAUCACACAAAUAUAGGGAGGAAUUCAGAAGGAGAGAGAAGGAAUUAUAGGAAUAGGAAAGAUUUUCAGAAUUAUAGAGAACAGAGACCAUAUAGACAAUACCAGAGUAAUCAAGAAAGAAUCCCCACUUACAACAGAU